ensembl:lncRNA
CUCAAGCCUGGGCAGGAAGGCCCAAUGUGGUUUGUAGUUGAAAACCACACGCACACACCCUCCUCCCCCCACAUACUCAGAGAAACCUGUUGAGCGUGCACGAACAGAUCAUUCUUUCAGGGCAAGCCAGUGGCACUCUGUGUGUGUGUACCCUCACCUCUGUGCUGUUUACCACUUACCAACCCUGUAUAUGUGUGUUUCGCUGACUCCCGGUCUGGCCUUGCCACGUCAAAUGACCGUCUCCAGCCUGCCGUCCAGAGAGAAAUAGCAACUUUGCCCUGCAUGUGUGUGUGUGUGUGUGUGUGUGUAUGUCUGUGUUUGGUUGGACUCCUGACCAGCCUGGUCUUUGGAAAUGAAGAUUUCUUCACUAAAACACUGGAUUGAGAUCAGAGCCACAGAAGAGAGUCUGGCUUUUUCCCUCUUUAGGAGCUGAGUUUGUUCCUGUCUGUUCUUUUUCAACUUUCAACUCGUGUGGUUUGGAUGUCGCAAAGAUGAGUGGAUUUCUGUAUCGUGGCAGACACUAUAAUGGACAUAAAGCGGCCCGGCCCAAGAGCAUGAUCGAUAUGUGCGAGUCCUCCAGUGAUGACGCUGAGAAGAGCUCUGUUUUGCAGACGCAUAGCCUGAGAGAGUUUGAGCAGGCUUGGCAGAAGUGUGGAGAUUUUGACAGGCUCAGUCAAGACCUGAUCAUUGUGGCCUGGCCCUCCGUGUACCUUUCAGCAAGUUGUUGCAAAAUUCUGAAGGAAACGGACAAACAAGAGCUGGUUUUGUCUUUCUAGAUUCUGUGCUUUUUGCAGCACUUCUUCACUUAGGUUCUCUUUAGAUAGAAAAUAGGUCAAAAUUUUC